rnacentral:rRNA from 1 species
GGUGACUUUAGCGGUGGUGUUCACCUCUUCCCAUUCCGAACAGAGAAGUUAAGCCCGCCAGCGUCGAUGAUACUGCCAAUAGGUGGGAAAGUAGAUAGUUGCCA